rnacentral:rRNA from 1 species
GAUGAACGCUGGCGGCGUGCCUAAUACAUGCAAGUCGAGCGAACGGACGAGAAGCUUGCUUCUCUGAUGUUAGCGGCGGACGGGUGAGUAACACGUGGAUAACCUACCUAUAAGACUGGGAUAACUUCGGGAAACCGGAGCUAAUACCGGAUAAUAUUUUGAACCGCAUGGUUCAGAAGUGAAAGACGGUCUUGCUGUCACUUAUAGAUGGAUCCGCGCUGCAUUAGCUAGUUGGUAAGGUAACGGCUUACCAAGGCAACGAUGCAUAGCCGACCUGAGAGGGUGAUCGGCCACACUGGAACUGAGACACGGUCCAGACUCCUACGGGAGGCAGCAGUAGGGAAUCUUCCGCAAUGGGCGAAAGCCUGACGGAGCAACGCCGCGUGAGUGAUGAAGGUCUUCGGAUCGUAAAACUCUGUUAUUAGGGAAGAACAUAUGUGUAAGUAACUGUGCACAUCUUGACGGUACCUAACCAGAAAGCCACGGCUAACUACGUGCCAGCAGCCGCGGUAAUACGUAGGUGGCAAGCGUUAUCCGGAAUUAUUGGGCGUAAAGCGCGCGUAGGCGGUUUUUUAAGUCUGAUGUGAAAGCCCACGGCUCAACCGUGGAGGGUCAUUGGAAACUGGAAAACUUGAGUGCAGAAGAGGAAAGUGGAAUUCCAUGUGUAGCGGUGAAAUGCGCAGAGAUAUGGAGGAACACCAGUGGCGAAGGCGACUUUCUGGUCUGUAACUGACGCUGAUGUGCGAAAGCGUGGGGAUCAAACAGGAUUAGAUACCCUGGUAGUCCACGCCGUAAACGAUGAGUGCUAAGUGUUAGGGGGUUUCCGCCCCUUAGUGCUGCAGCUAACGCAUUAAGCACUCCGCCUGGGGAGUACGACCGCAAGGUUGAAACUCAAAGGAAUUGACGGGGACCCGCACAAGCGGUGGAGCAUGUGGUUUAAUUCGAAGCAACGCGAAGAACCUUACCAAAUCUUGACAUCCUUUGACAACUCUAGAGAUAGAGCCUUCCCCUUCGGGGGGGCAAAGUGACAGGUGGUGCAUGGUUGUCGUCAGCUCGUGUCGUGAGAUGUUGGGUUAAGUCCCGCAACGAGCGCAACCCUUAAGCUUAGUUGCCAUCAUUAAGUUGGGCACUCUAAGUUGACUGCCGGUGACAAACCGGAGGAAGGUGGGGAUGACGUCAAAUCAUCAUGCCCCUUAUGAUUUGGGCUACACACGUGCUACAAUGGGCAAUACAAAGGGCAGCGAAACCGCGAGGUCAAGCAAAUCCCAUAAAGUUGUUCUCAGUUCGGAUUGUAGUCUGCAACUCGACUACAUGAAGCUGGAAUCGCUAGUAAUCGUAGAUCAGCAUGCUACGGUGAAUACGUUCCCGGGUCU